GUGCAACAUGGUUAUGGGUACUACAGUGGAUGUGAGUGUGUAGACCUUGUACAAUAGAGCUUAUAGGCUAAUGAGAAGACAGGAAGAAACAACAGGAACACAUAUAGCUGGAAUGCAGAUGGGAUCUGUGCUACUUACGCUAGCCAUGGGAUGAUUAGAACAAGAUAAGAGACAUGAGGAAGACUUCUUCAAGGAGGUGCUCAAGCCAUGUUUUGGAAAAGAGAACUCAAGGUCUGGCAGGGAGAAAGGAGCAAGAGUAGACUUUGAGUCUUUGCUUCAGAUGCAGAUCAAGAUGUGGCAACCUGUUGUGGAGAACUGGGUCCCUUGAGCCUGUGCUGUCUCUUUUUUUCUGGUGGCUUUGUCAUUUGGAACAAUGCAUAAUGGGCUGGAGGCUGAGAAACUCUGAGCUGAGGGCAAGUAGAGCUGCAGCUGUCUGGCGCCACUGUAAUGCUGUCUCCUCCUCUGAGUGAGUUCAUCCUGGAAACAUUUUCUCCCAUAAGACAUGCACAGGUCUUACGUUUACAUGUUUCACUGAAAGAAAUUUGAUUCCACUGCUGGGAUGACAAGGAAGACUGAAGAAACCUAAUCCUAGGUGCUGCCACUGGGACAAACAAGAAGCACCAGACACAGUGCUGUUUUAGGGUGGGGCAGAAUUAUGCUGAGGGAAAAGUUAUUAUCACUCUUUAAGGCCAAGGAAACCACAAUUUUUAAAGAAGCUUCUAGAAAUUCUACCCAGUAGAAAAUAAAGAUAAACUUCUGUAAGGAAUUUCAUUCUUUUCAGAAUUCGCAAUCUGAAAUGUAGAAGCCCAUUCCUUCAUGGUUCUCAUAGAUAUUUAGUGUGACUGAGGGGUCAGUGGACUCAUAGCACUCAGGCCAGGCUUCUCCUGAGUCCCUUUCUUUGGCACAGAGGGAGUGAUUCACAGAUCCUCUACCCCCAAAGGCAUUGUUUCCUCAUCUCAACAAGAAUCCAGCACCCGUCAUUUUAUCAGCACACGUCACUAGCUUCUCAAGUGAGACUACUCUGAAGUGAUCUGUGUUUGAAGAAUGCCUUUCCCUUUCCCUUACGUAACUAAGAGGAUGAAAAAGGACACUCACUCCCUAUAUGAAAGCUGUGUAUUGUAAGCAGUCAUCUUGCCUGGCUGAGAACUCUAGGAUCUUUUUCUCUGCUCUCCUUUAGGCUGACACUCAUAGCCAGACCUUCUGUUUAUUAGCCCCCUGAAUCUAUUUGAAAAUAUUUUUGCUUUCAUUAUAAUAUAAGUCACAUUCUUCUUGCAUCUGCCGCUGCAUUUUCCAAAAGGGUUAUGUCAAGGGAAAUUCAACACUCACUUUUCUCAUUAUUUGCUUACCAGCUUGCUCACUCAUCAAAAUACCAGAGUUAUUUGAUACUUCAGAAGAUUAUUUCCCCCUUUAGAUGAUGUGUCAAGGGAAGGGGAGCUGGCCCCAGUAUCAGGUGACAGAAUUUUCUUCGCAUUUCUACUGUUGACUCAAUAAAUGCCCUUGGGCAAGUCAUGGAGCCUCUUCA
rnacentral:lncRNA from 1 species